rnacentral:lncRNA from 1 species
AACCCAGAAUUGAAUUUUGGGGAAUCCCAAAAAAUCCCACCUUUAUAAUACUACUCGGUUAUCAUUAUCUGGUCUAAUUUUGGCUCUGUGUUUGUUUUUUCUGAGAUUUUGGGAUCAAACUGAAUUUUGAUCAAAGUUUUGUAGUGUAGUUGAAGAGAAGAUUAGUAGAUUGCUUAUUUGUUGGGAUUUUAUUGGAAAACUUGAAGCCAAGUUUGGACUUUCCCCCCUUGUAUUUGUUGGCUUAAGGCACUGUUUGGUAAAUGGUUUUGAGGGUAUUUUGAUUGGAGAAAGGUUCGGUCUUUUAGUGUUUUAAGGAGAAUAAAAAUGGUGAGUGGAACUUUGUUUCAUUGUAGAAAGAAUUCAUGGCCACCUGAGGAAUAUAUCUGGUCUUUGAGUGUUUUAAUAAGGAGAAUAAAAAUGGUGAGUGGAACUUUGUUUCAUUGUAGAAAGAACUCAUGGCCACCUGAAGAAUAUAUCAGUAAAGCAACUUUACAAUU